UUGUGUUUUAAAGUCCCGGAUGGAAGAGACUACCUAGCCGGAGUCUGGGGUUCCUUGUCUGAAGACUCUGGCUGUAGGGACCCCUCUGGGGUUCUAGAUGUAACUGUGGCAUGAAGCCCGGAACCAGAAAGGGCUGUUGUGAAAUGGGGGAGGUUUCAUUUGAGGGAAGAUUGGGGAGAUGUACUGUGGGGUAAAAAUGGGGUCACACUGGGGACAUGGCAUGCAGGAUCUUGAGCCACAAGGAGCAGGAACUUGAGCCAGAACAGAGGGACAGGGUGUGUCCUGGACUCCCUGAGGGGUGUGUGUGUGCUGGAACUGACUUCUCCCUUAAGCUGGACUGGAGGGCUGCAGUACAAGGAGACCUGGGAUGAUCUGUGCCACAGCGAGGACACCUAAGAGAGGGAACAGGACCUGAGCCUGCCCAGCACAGCAGUCAGCAUCCUCCAGUGGAAAUGCCCUUACUGAGGACACCUGGCGGUACAAAAGAGACAGAGUGGAGAAUUCCCCGAAUACAUCUGCAGUGCCAGGCAUCAGAGCAUGAGAACCCAGAACGAUGGAGAAUAUCAAUUCUCUCUUUGUGAUCCCGGGGCUGCCCAGGAGCUGGGCUUUGCGGCAGCUGCCCACUGCCCAGCAUCACAAAUGUCACAUGCCUGAGAAAAGAUCCACAUCGAAAAUUUGAAGUUUGACUUCCAUUGAACGCAUUUCCCUUUCUCAACACCAUAAAGAAAAACAA